rnacentral:misc_RNA from 1 species
AAGCAGUCUGUGCGGGAGCCUAUCGGUCUGCUUGUGCACGUGUGUUUGUGUGUGGAGGCGCUACCUCAGUCUGCCCUGUCUCCCUCUCUCCCUCCCUCCCUCCCCAGGAGUCCGCAACGCUGCAGAAAAAGUGGUGCAGUAGCGGGCACGGUCGUCCGCCACAUCUUCUUUUCUGUAGCUUCUUGCCCUUCCUCCUCCUUUUUCAGCCUUCUUUUUUGCUUCACAUAGCCGCAGCGGACGGAGAAUGUUCGUUGUCGCGCACAGCUGAUAAGUGCGCUUCUCUGGUAGGUCUUUUUUGUGCUCUCUCUCAAUCUUCAUCUGUCUGCGUCUUGGGCGGCCCUGACACGUCAAUUGCGAGGCCCCCGACCUGCGCAUGGUACGACGACCCGCAAAGGACGCCAGAAGGGAGGGGGAUCGCCACGACCACCGACCUUCGCGCACGGGGAGGAAGAGACGGCACGGAGAGGAUGUUAGCAGCAACACGCCGCCGCUUUCUUCCACGUCUUACCUUGAGUCACAUCAAACGCAAGGGAGAGUGAAGUCGCCUAUUUCGCGCAAGCAUGACGGGUCGCACAGCAGGAGCAGCAGCUCUUCGGGGCAGCACCGCUAUGGGCGCUAUCGACACCGCGAAGGACAAGAGCGGCGCGCCGGCGUUGACGACGAUGAGAAGCACCUUUACAGGAGUGCGGACAACAGGCACGGCGCCCGGCAGCACCAACGACGUGCGAGUGACGACAGCGUGCACAGCGAUGAAAACCGGCGCCGCCCGUGUCCGACGUCGAUGAAUGAUCCAGCUCCGUCUCCGCAGGCACCCAUGACCGUCCCACUCGCCGCAAGCGCUACGGUCCUCCCAAGGGCAAAUCUCGCAGUUAGUGCACCGCCAGGUGCAACGAGAGCCGGCCACAGUAAGCGCCUUCCCGAGGAACUCGCUGAAUCUCCACACACGCAGCCGCCUCGCAUGGAGACAAUCAAUGAGCGCAAACAGCUCUUCCGCACGCGGUUGUACACGACUCCUCUGCGAGUGCCGGCUACCGAAGGCGCAGAACAGCGCGGCGAAACUCCCGGUGCAAGCCUCACAGCGACUGGCGCCACGCCCAACGACUCUGUCGCCGGGGCUCCCUUGCUGCGUGCCCCGCCGCCCGCUAUCCUGUCUGCAGCUGGUGGGCCGGCAUCUCUCAGCAUAGUCAAGACGGUGCCGUUCUCGGAGGAGGAGCACCUUGCAUGGCUCUGUGCACCAGCCUCGCCGACAGAGAUCCGCGCAAGCGCGGCGGUGCCUCCGGGGGCGGCGGCGGCGUCGUCCCGUGGCCUCGCCUGCACCGAGCGAAUUCCUCGCGCACAAAGUGAGGGAGAGCUCAAGCACGAACCCGACCGUCGCACCGUUGGCGCGACGGCAACUCAACAACCCCACCUCUCCUCCGGAGCUUCGGACGUGCUUGGGAACGAUGCGCCUGCUUGUCUACAGGGCCUGGCGGCGGCACCGACGGCAACCGCGCCGAACACAGCCACGCCGUUGGCGCCGCAGCAGGGGGAAAUCAGCUACAAGAGCAGCUUCUCUGUUCUCACGUCGUGGGACGCAUUGAUGGUGGCACCACCGCUACUGCGCACCACCCCCCGCAUGCCGAGCCUCUUGACCCAAGAUGCCGACAGCAUUGGCACCGCUGUUGUGCACUCGAGCAGGUCGACCUCGGUAACCCACGCGUGUGUGAGCAACGAUACUGCGCGUAUACCGUCAACGGACUCACGUGGCGAGCUGCUCAUCGGCACUUCACCUGCCACGGAAAAGGGCGAAGCAAGACAAGGAGAAGAGGCACGCGCUGACGCGGCGCUGCAGCAGCCUCUCUUCCCAUCUUCGUGCUGCACCCGCACUCCCACCACAGUCCCCUCUAGGCUGAAAUGCGACGGGCACGAGUGGUCGCCCGAAGACUUAGUGCAUCAGUUCGAGGAGGAUAGCGCGCGCACCUUUGUGAAGCACUUUACGAACGGCCUUGUGUUCGUCGACCCGCCGUGGUUCAUCUGCCCAGUGCUGCUGGACAACUGCGAACACCCAUACUACAUGACAUGGAUGGACGAACUCGAAGUCGGCUCCGUGGAGGAGGCGGUGGCAGAGGCCAAGGCAAAGCUGCUGACAGAUGCGUAAGCGCUCCCGGCUGCGCGGUGGAGGGGCUAUUGCGGGUGGGCGACGACGUGGCGUAUGGAGCCAUUGGCGAGCAGCAGUCGUGGCGUGUACAAGGCUGCGCCUCUCUGCUGAGGGACUCCUCGACUUUCAUUGACUAGUGGGCCUUGCUUUCACCGCUGCUGUUGUGGCGGCUGCAGUGAGCCGCUGUAUCUGACCCCCCGCCCGCUGCUUCGUCCCGCUCCUCUGCCGCCCACCACUCUUAGAGGUGGCGCGCAACACUCCUGCCUAGCCAGACAGGGAGGCUUCAUGUACCCAUCUCCGCACUCCCUUCCCCUCUACACAUGCACCAACCCAUUAGCACUGACGUCGGCACUGCGCAAUGCCUUCGCUCUCUUCUUGCCCUUUUCUUAUCGAGAGUGUCGCAUGUCCGCCUCUCUGUCCUUGCGAACGAACGCGUGCAUGCGUGUGGAGCGCGCCACCACACGUCGCACAAGCGAUUUGCUCUCCUUCCUCUCGAGCCUCUUUCUUCAUCGGUUCUGUUGGUGCGACUUGUCGCUGCCCAUCCUCCUCCCGGUCUCUCCCUUGUAUAUCUACGCAUGUUCACAUUCACGCGCGCACACCCACACCGACCACCCUGCGCACCCCCUCGCCCUCACACCCCGCUCUCUCUCUCACGCAACCGACUCUUGUCUGCUGCUCGCACAUUCUGUCUGUCUGCCUGUGACCCGCUCGCCGGCCCAAAG